GUGCCAGCCGCCGCGGUAAUACGGAAGGUCCGGGCGUUAUCCGGAUUUAUUGGGUUUAAAGGGAGCGCAGGCCGUCGGUUAAGCGUGCCGUGAAAUGUACCGGCUCAACCGGUGAAUUGCGGCGCGAACUGUCCGACUUGAGUUCGUACGAGGACGGCGGAAUUCGUGGCGUACGGUGAAAUGCUUAGAUAUCACGAAGAACCCCGAUUGCGAAGGCAGCCGUCCAGUCCGUUACUGACGCUAAAGCUUGAAGGUGCGGGUAUCGAACAGGAUUAGAUACCCUGGUAGUCCGCACGGUAAACGAUGGAUGCCCGCUGUCGGCGAUAUAAUGUCGGUGGCCAAGCGAAAGCCGUUAAGCAUCCCACCUGGGGAGUACGCCGGCAACGGUGAAACUCAAAGGAAUUGACGGGGGCCCGCACAAGCGGAGGAACAUGUGGUUUAAUUCGAUGAUACGCGAGGAACCUUACCCGGGCUUGAACUGCCGGCGAACGAAUCAGAGAUGAUGAGGUCCUUCGGGACGCUGGUGGAGGUGCUGCAUGGUUGUCGUCAGCUCGUGCCGUGAGGUGUCGGCUUAAGUGCCAUAACGAGCGCAACCCUUUUCGUCAGUUGCCAUCAGGUAAUGCUGGGCACUCUGGUGAUACUGCCACCGUAAGGUGUGAGGAAGGUGGGGAUGACGUCAAAUCAGCACGGCCCUUACGUCCGGGGCUACACACGUGUUACAAUGGGUGGUACAGAGAGUCGGCUGUAUGCAAAUACGGUCCAAUCAUGAAAGCCAUCCUCAGUUCGGAUUGGGUCUGCAACCCGACCCCAUGAAGCUGGAUUCGCUAGUAAUCGCGCAUCAGCCAUGGCGGCGGUGAAUACGUUCCCGGGCCUUGUACACACCGCCCGU
rnacentral:rRNA from 1 species